CCUCACUUAGUCACUCCGCCUUGAAUCACGAUUUCACUCGAUCUCCUUAAACCACCAGAAGUCCAGAACUCGAUCUCCUUUCUUCCUCUUCUUUCCUUACUCAUUCAAGAUUUCACUCGAUGUCCUUAAACCACUGGAACUCGAUCUCCUUUCUUCCUCUUCUUUCCUCACUCAUUCACGAUUUCACUCGGUCUUCACUUCCUCUGAGUCUCGUCCGCCGUAGUCUGCCCCAUAUCAAGGAUUCAAGGUCUCUCUCUCUCUCGGUGAUUUUACUCUGGAGCUGCGUUGAAGGAAGUGUAGAAGAAUAAGACCAGGGUCCAGGGCCAGUCGCGAAAAGCUCACCAAGCACCAAGUAGGCAGAUUAUGCGAAGGAGAAAUCCAGUGAACAAUCAGCAAAAAAGGCUGCUUUUAAGGCAAAAAAAUCGAAGCUGGCUGAGCAGUCAGGGAUCGUGAUUGCCAAUUGAUGGAAGGCUUUGCUGAAUAGCUGCUGAAUGCUUAGAAGACUGGAGAAA